rnacentral:lncRNA from 1 species
AGGGUCUUGUGCACAUCCCUGAAGAGAGGCAGUGGCCAUGUCAUCCAGACCACUGGCAAUGGAUUCCCCACAGAAAUGAGAGUUUUUUUUUAACCAAAGGCCGUAUGCACCCUGGGUGUGGGCCUGACCCAUACAUCCAACAUACCUGUGUAUCUUAGUUUCUAGGGCUACCAUGAUAUAGCACCAUGAACUGAAUAUGAGAUCACAGAAAUUUAUUCUCUUACACUUCUGGAGCUAGAAGUCCAAAACCAAGGUGUUGCAGAGCCACGCUCCCUCCAAAGCCUAUAGGGGAAGGAUCCUUGUUUCUUCCAGCUUCUGGGAGCCCCAGGAGUUCCUUCCCUUGUGGCCACAUAACUCCAAUCUCUGCCUCCAUUCCCAAUGUAGCCAUCUUCCUAGGUCAUCUUUGUCUCCAUCAGUUCCUGGUCCAAAGUUCUCAAGUCUCUGACGUGGCUUCUGGUAGUUUGAGGGUAUCGGAGUGUUUAUGUGUAUAUGAAUGUGUAAUUGGAGAGAUGGGGGAAUGAAGAGGAAAGAACUGCCAAAAAGCAUAAACGCUGUACCAGAGACAGAGAGAGAGAGAGAGAGAGAGAGAAUAAAGAUAUGAGCACAGAGGCCUCCUUGAGUUUGCAGCAUCUGGGAGGCUCUGCUCAGUAAGUUCAGCUGUGUCUCUGUGUCCAAAUUCCCCUCUUCUUUCGAGGACACCAGUCACAUUGAAUUAGGGCUCUCCCACCCUAUCCCAGGAUGACUUACUUUUUUUUUUCAUUGUUGCCAUUACCUUUAUUUAUUUAUUUUUUUUUUUAUUAUCUUAACCAGUUUACAUCUGCAAAGACCCUAUUUCCAAAUAAUGUAGAUGGCAGAUGAGACUUGAGCAUAUAUUUUGUGGGGGGACAUAGUCUAACCCAUAACACCAGGUCUCCACCUACAUUAAAGUGUAUCUGUGAGGAUGUUUAGUUGUACAUGCAUCCGGGCUUGCCAUCACAGAGGUCCGUGUGGUGGCCCUGUGGAGCACACCUCCAUGCCCUGUCUGUGUGGACCUGUGCAUUGGGUUUAUAUCAAACAUGGAGGUUUCUUUAGUACGUGUCUGGUUCGCUCCCCGCCGUGUUCUAAGACUCCUCACCUGCCUACAGGGUGCUGUGCUCAUACGCAAAACCAAGGGUUUUCAAUGACUUUCCACAAGUAAAGAAGUUAUUUUCUGACACAUUUCUUCCUCCAAUUAUAUAUUUACCUCCCCCAGUGGCUUACUCAGGAGCAAAGACAAAAGGCUCAGGACUCAGGCUGACUCAGGACAUGCGCACACACACACACACACACAUACACACUUACUUUCACAAGGACCCCACAGUUCUUCUUGAGUGAGAUAAAUAUAUGCAAAAUGCCUCACAGCACCGCAACCACUAGAGUCUUCUCCUCUAGAACUGCAUGUACAUUUAAAUGCACAAACAACAUCUGAAAAUAUUCUUUGCAGAUAAAAAUCCCAAUAAUAACUCAUCCCCCCACCCCUCCAAGAUUACUCUAAGGUUGCCACUGAUUUCCCCACUGGCAAGAGGGAGCAAAUAGGAGGCAGGAAUAGUAUAGUCUUCUUGCCUGUCCUGAUCCCAACUCCUCCAAGAAAUGGGGUUUCACAGACUGAGUCUGCGGACCCAGAAUCAUUGGGGCAAUCAUUCUGUCUGACCUAGAAGUAACUGGACAGGAAUCUGAAAAGCAACAGAUCCCCUCUGCCUCUUUUUGGUGAAAUAUGGUUUAUCAAAGUGGGCAGAAAGGUUGAGGCCAUAUAUCAACCUUCCCAUUUUACAGAUGGGGAGACUGAGGCCAUGGAAGUCAUUCAGCAUUGCCUUCACUCACAGAUCCAGUGUCUCCUGCCUCCUGGUCCAGUAUUCUUUUCCCAUCCCCUCCUGUCUCACCUCCUGCCCCCAUCUUUUUAGACUUUGGGAACAGCAGUGGUGAAGAGGGAGGAUAAAGGGAAGAUUAUUCCAUGUCCAAGGAAGGUUAGCAGGAGAGAGCCACAGAAGAGCAUCUUGUAAGGUACUGAAAUCCAGCUGAGGCUUCCUCCAUAACCCAGACUUCUCCCCCAAAAAGUUCCAUGACAUCUGCUGGCUGCCUGGCCUUCGCGGAUCUAUUUAACCCAGAGACACUGUGAUCGCUCAUGUGCUUUGAUCCUGCAGGCGCCGGCAGCUUUUUGUUCUAUUAUUCACUGCAGGGUGGAUGCUGAGUUGUCUCUCCUUAUUACAGGCAGUGGUUGGGCUUCCCACCGCCUCCCCAAGCCAGAGGGAAUGUGUGGAGGCUACGGAAAGGAAUAUCCUUGAACGGAAUGCAUGACUUCUGCAAGAGUCAUAGCUUCAUUUCUGCACUUGCUCUCCUCUCACCAAUAAUCCAGGCACAGAAACCCUCCCCCGCCCUCCUCCCUCGGGGGCACAGGAUAAUGUUGAUGGAUGGGAUGGAGUCUGGAGCUGAGAGGGCAUGGAAAAGAGGGGAGCCCUCCUUAGCAGACCGUCUUGGGGCACACAGGUGGAAUGAUCGAGUAGCCAACAUGCACUUCAGCAAGGGCAGAGUGAUGUUUUUCAUGACUAAUCUUCAAACCCCGGACGAGAGGAAACACAUUCCAAAGCGACUGCUUGAGACAAGAACAGGGUGGGACGCAAAAAGUUAACUGAGAAUCAGGAGAUAGGAGAAGACUCAGCCACACCCAGCCAGUGAAGAUGAAUUUAAAGAGAACUCUAUGUAGUGCGGCUCCCUGGGUGGAACAGAACAUA